rnacentral:rRNA from 1 species
UGAGGAAUAUUGGGCAAUGCCCGCAAGGGUGACCCAGCAACGCCGCGUGGAGGAUGAAUGUCGUAAGAUUGUAAACUCCUGUUAGAGGGGAAGAAUAGUACCGGUUGGACCGGUAUAUGACUGUACCCUCAGAGAAAGCCCCGGCUAACUACGUGCCAGCAGCCGCGGUAAUACGUAGGGGGCAAGCGUUGUCCGGAUUUACUGGGUGUAAAGGGCGCGCAGGCGGGAUAAAAAGUCAGUGGUGAAAUCCUACAGCCUAACUGUAGAACUGCCUUUGAUACUUUUAUUCUUGAGUUCGGGAGAGAGAGACGGAAUUCCAGGUGUAGUGGUGAAAUACGUAGAUAUCUGGAAGAACACCAGUUGCGAAGGCGGUCUCUUGGUCCGACACUGACGCUGAGGCGCGAAAGCGUGGGG